UCUUCAUUUCCCACGCUCUUUCACCGGUCAGAGAGUCGAGAGAUCGUACAAAAUGAAGAGA
rnacentral:pre_miRNA from 1 species